GUCUCUUUUGUCAGUGCUCACCCUGCGGGCCGGGAGCGCUUCUCCCGAGGAUCCAUAAAACCCCUCCGCUUUCCUUUCCUCAAACCCACCCUUGCUCCUCAACGAGUGGAACAACAGAACGAAGCGACACCAAAACUCGCCCUUCCCUGGCCGAGGCUGCAGGGUGGAGAGCAGUGCGACCAGCGCAGUGUCUCCGUCGGCCUCGGUGGGAGCGCUCCUCGCCCCGGCCGCGGCGGGACCGGGGCCCGGGCAGAGGCUGGUCAUUGUAACCCCCGCGGCGGGAGGCGUCGGUCCUUGCCACGGCUGCUUUCCCCGCUCCGCGCCUCUUGCGAAGCCCCUUCCUAGUCUCUGCCUCGAACUCUGCCCCGCGCACGUUCCCCGGGCUGAUGCUGUUCAGAGCGGGUUUUUGUACAGCUCCGUAAAAAGUGCAUCACCGUGCCCUUUCGGAGGAUGGAAACGAGAUGUAAACGGAAUAAGUGAUUAUUGUCUUGGAAGCAGGCGAAGCCAGCGAAUCGAAGGGGGUGUAAUUGCAAUUCGGUGGCAAGAUUAUGCGGGAAUCUGAAACAAUCUUUGUGCAAAUGGGGACCCUGGAACAGAAAAUGUCGUGGAAAUUAAAAUUGAGGGUUGUUUGUUUAUGGGACCUUCAGGAUGUAUUGCCUGUAUUGCAUCUCCUCUGGCUGAGAGUUGGAUCUCCUGUGAACAAAACCAGAAAAGAGAAAUAUUACAACUGAACCAAAAUACGCUGAAUGGACUACAACCCUCAGAUUUGGUACCAAAAUCUAUGAAAGGAGACAAGAAGAAGAAGGGGGGGGGGAAGCAACUGGGAACUUCAUUCAGCAUCAUGUGUUACAAUUUAGACAGCAUCAAAGUAAAUGGUUGUAAAAAGUACAUUGUUCUGUUCCAGUUACUGUUUCUAAUGUUGCUUUUUUAUUCUGUUUUGUCCUUUUUUCCUUACUCAAAAUCUGUAGGCCAGAUUCUCCCUUUUAUUUAAACUUGUGUGUAGUUAGAAUGGCUUUCUUGAUAUUACCUAGCUUCCCUAUACUGAAUUGCAAUGGUCUAAGCAGAUUUUGGAGAAAUAUUUAAAGAAUUUUGUCCUUAAAACUGACCAACUGUAUCUUCACCACAUAACUCAAACUGAAAUUGUGGUACAAGAAAUAUGGGAUGAAUUUUAAGGGUGUACGAACAUACAUAAGGAAAUAAGCAUGGUUUGAAAGUAGUUAUGAAAUUCUGUUUUCACAAGUUCCCUUUUUUCAGGAUUCAAACAUUGUUUUUUGGCUACUCUGUGCAAGGCUGAAGCAAAAUUUCAAUAGCUUCAAUAAGGUGUUGAAGGUUACCCUUAGACAUAGUUCAUGAAAAUGAUACUGAGUCUUGGUUCUGUCCACACAAGAAUGAUCCUUAAAACUGGUUUUGAACUGAAACACUUGAACUGUCUUUUACAGUAGUAAAAGUAGAAAUUAGGCUUAAGUAAUAGAAAAAGAUUUUUUUUAAAUGCUUAAUUUAGUCAUUUGUGGUCAUAAGCAAAGCAAUACCUAAGCAAUUCUUUACCUGUGCACAAGAUUUUCUAUGAAAUAUGUAGCACACAUUUUUAUGCAUUUUUUAAAUGAUUUUUUGAUGAAUUUUUAAUAUAAAAAUGCAGUGGGUUCAUGACAUCUGACUUUUAUAUGUGUAUAAUAAAUCACUACAUGAGACUUUGCAUUUAGUCUUCCAGAUGUAAUGGCAUUUACAUUCCAAAUCUGGAUCAGAGAUGAAUUUUCCAUACGGUGUCAAUUUUAGAUCUUCAGGUGGGUUUAUAAGUCAGAGGAGCUCUAUUAUAGUAAAGAAGGCAAUGCAUUAAAUAAAUAUUACUGGUUCAUAAAGAAAUUGUACAGAAUUGGAACUGUCUUGUUUGAAAAACAUGCUCAUGUAAGAAGUCCUUUCUAUAGUUGAAAUUUCCAUUUGUUUGCUUGUUUGUUUUUAAACUAUUUUAGUUAGCACAAAUCAAAAAUAGUGCUAUAAAGCUUCACGCUUUAAAGUCUUCACAUACACCAGAAUGGUAAUAACAAUUCACUGUCAAAUUUUCUCUUGGGGGUUUUAAAGUUGUACACUGAGCUAAAUAGAUACUUUGAUUCAGUUUUCCGAA